UACGAAGGGGGCUAGCGUUGCUCGGAAUUACUGGGCGUAAAGGGCGCGUAGGCGGAUAUUUAAGUUAGAGGUGAAAGCCCAGGGCUCAACCCUGGAACAGCCUUUAAUACUGGAUAUCUUGAGUUCGGGAGAGGUGAGUGGAACUCCGAGUGUAGAGGUGAAAUUCGUAGAUAUUCGCAAGAACACCAGUGGCGAAGGCGGCUCACUGGCCCGAUACUGACGCUGAGGCACGAAAGCGUGGGGAGCAAACAGG
rnacentral:rRNA from 1 species